GGAUGUAGCUCAGUUGGUAGAGUGCUUGCCCAGCAGCUACACAAGACCCUGGGUUCAAUUCCCAGCACCA
rnacentral:tRNA from 1 species